rnacentral:rRNA from 1 species
AUGAGGGUCUACAAGAAAGAAAAAGAGGUGCUUAAAUCUGUCCUAAAGGGUGUGAGCUCCAUAUGUCUAACUACAGAUAUGUGGACAAGCAACCAAACCUUAUCUUACAUGUGUGUGGUUGCACACUAUAUAGAUGUCAAUUGGAAGAUGCAAAACCCUGUUCUUGCUUUCAUAGAGUUGGAUCCUCCUCACUCUAGAAAUGUAAUUGCGGAUGCUCUCUAUGCGUGUGUGAUAGAAUGGAAUAUUGAGACCAAAAUUAUGUCCGUGACACUUGACAACGCUUCAAACAAUGAUGGUGCGGUCGAUGCUUUGAAGGCCAAGUUCUCGUUUCGGAGAGGUAAGGACUUCGAAGGCCAAUAUUUUCAUAUCCGUUGUUGUGCACACAUCCUCAACUUGGUCGUGCAAGAUGGGACAGAGAUCUUAGAUAAUUUGAUAAACAACUUGAGAGAGACGGUGAAGUACUUCAAGUGGUCAACUUCUCGUCUCCAUGCUUUUUGUUGCCACUUGCAAAAGCUUGGGUGUCAAAGUUAG